ACUUUAUUGUAAAUAUAGGGGAGACCGGAGACAAAAGUAACACGGGACAAUAGUAACAUCGUCAAUAUUUCUUAAACUAUAACAGAUACAUGUAUGUGGCCG